ACUGUGAACUGCGAAUGGCUCCAUUUAAAUCCAGUUAUCGUUUAUUUCGAUAGUACCUUACUACAUGGAUACCUGUGGUAAUUCUAGAGCUAAUACAUGCUAAAAACCCCGACUUCAGGAAGGGGUGUAUUUAUUAGAUAAAAAACCAACGCCCUUCGGGGCUCCUUGGUGAAUCAUAAUAACUUAACGAAUCGCAUGGCCUUGCGCCGGCGAUGGUUCAUUCAAAUUUCUGCCCUAUCAACUUUCGAUGGUAGGAUAGUGGCCUACCAUGGUGGCAACGGGUAACGGGGAAUUAGGGUUCGAUUCCGGAGAGGGAGCCUGAGAAACGGCUACCACAUCCAAGGAAGGCAGCAGGCGCGCAAAUUACCCAAUCCCGAUACGGGGAGGUAGUGACAAUAAAUACUGAUACGGGGCUCUUUUGGGUCUCG
rnacentral:rRNA from 1 species